CCUGCUCAAUGCAUAUAAAUAGCCGCUAUAAGUGCUAAGGUAGCAUAAUAAAUUGCUCUUUAAUUAAGAGAUAGAAUGAAAGGAUAAACGUUUUAUUAAUUGUCUCUAGCUAUCUAUUUUAAAUUAAUCUAAUUGUCAAAACUCAAUUUUAACACAGCAGGACGACAAGACCCUAUCGAACUUAACUUCACAGUUACACUGGGGAGGUAAAAAACUACAUCUUUUUUCCCCAAUUAAUUUACGCUAUAUAAUUGAAACAAAACAAGUUACCGUAGGGAUAACAGCAUAAUAAAUUACCAAAGCCCAUAUAUAAUAAUUAAAUUAUGACCUCGAUGUUGAAUUAAUAAUUCUGUAACCAGAAAAAAGGUUAUAAGAAAGUCUGUUCGACUUUAUAACUAUUACAU
rnacentral:rRNA from 1 species